GACGAACCGAGCGAACGUUGUUCGGAAUCACUGGGCUUAAAGGGCGCGUAGGCGGGUGCUCAAGUCCGGGGUGAAAUCCCACAGCUCAACUGUGGAACUGCCUCGGAUACUGGGCGUCUCGAGGGUGAUAGGGGUAUGCGGAACUAUCGGUGGAGCGGUGAAAUGCGUUGAUAUCGAUAGGAACUCCGGUGGCGAAGGCGGCAUACUGGAUCACUUCUGACGCUGAGGCGCGAAAGCCAGGGGAGCGAACGGG
rnacentral:rRNA from 1 species